UACGUAGGGUGCAAGCGUUGUCCGGAAUUAUUGGGCGUAAAGAGCUCGUAGGCGGUUCGUCACGUCGGCUGUGAAAACCUGAGGCUCAACCUCAGGCCUGCAGUCGAUACGGGCGGACUCGAGUUCGGCAGGGGAGACUGGAAUUCCUGGUGUAGCGGUGAAGUGCGCAGAUAUCAGGAGGAACACCGGUGGCGAAGGCGGGUCUCUGGGCCGAUACUGACGCUGAGGAGCGAAAGCGUGGGGAGCGAACAGG
rnacentral:rRNA from 1 species